UGAUGGAAGAGACUUUUCAAGUAGGAAGUCAUGAAAGUCGUCGACCGAUGGUUACAGUGACGAAUUUCACAUCCUCUUCGCAUUUCGGAAAUCAGCAAAUGCAGCAUGGAUAUGAACGAGGUGAUUUAUCUACUGUGUCAAGUUCGACGGGAGAUGACUUCGUAG
rnacentral:ribozyme from 1 species